rnacentral:rRNA from 1 species
UACGGAGGGUGCGAGCGUUGUCCGGAAUUACUGGGCGUAAAGGGCUCGUAGGCGGCCAACUAAGUCAGACGUGAAAUCCCUCGGCUUAACCGGGGAACUGCAUCUGAUACUGGAUGGCUUGAGUUCGGGAGAGGGAUGCGGAAUUCCAGGUGUAGCGGUGAAAUGCGUAGAUAUCAGGAGGAACACCUGUGGUGUAGACAGCUUACUGGACCAUUUCUGACGCUGAGACACGAAAGCGUGGGUAGCAAACAGG